rnacentral:rRNA from 1 species
UACGGGGGGGGGCAAGCGUUGUUCGGAAUUACUGGGCGUAAAGGGCUCGUAGGCGGCCAACUAAGUCAGACGUGAAAAUCCCUCGGCUUAACCGGGGAACUGCAUCUGAUACUGGAUGGCUUGAGUUCGGGAGAGGGAUGUGGAAUUCCAGGUGUAGCGGUGAAAUGCGUAGAUAUCUGGAGGAACACCGGUGGCGAAGGCGGCAUCCUGGACCGACACUGACGCUGAGGAGCGAAAGCCAGGGGAGCAAACGGG